rnacentral:rRNA from 1 species
CCUACGGGUGGCUGCAGUAGGGAAUUUUCCACAAUGGGCGAAAGCCUGAUGGAGCAACGCCGCGUGGGUGAAGAAGGUCUUCGGAUCGUAAAACCCUGUUGUUAGAGAAGAAAGUGCGUGAGAGUAACUGUUCACGUUUCGACGGUAUCUAACCAGAAAGCCACGGCUAACUACGUGCCAGCAGCCGCGGUAAUACGUAGGUGGCAAGCGUUAUCCGGAUUUAUUGGGCGUAAAGGGAACGCAGGCGGUCUUGUAAGGUUGAUGUGAAAGCCUUCGGCUUAACCGGAGUAGUGCAUUGGAAACUGGCAGACUUGAGUGCAGUAGAGGCGAGUGGAACUCCAGGUGUAGCGGUGAAAUGCGUAGAUAUAUGGAAGAACACCAGGGGCGAAGGCGGCUCUCUGGUCUGUAACUGACGCUGAGGUUCGAAAGCGUGGGUAGCAAACAGGAUUAGAUACCCUUGUAGUC